rnacentral:misc_RNA from 1 species
GUCUUUUAAUUGGUGUUGCUUGGACUGCUUCUCUUUGGGAAGUCAAAAUGUUGAUUUCUACUCUAGUUGUUACAUGGGGGACAAUGCUAUCUCUGUUGUGAUUCUUGUGAAUAUGUUGACAACCAAAUAUUAGACGCAUAAACUUCUAUAAUAAUUGGGAGUAGAAAUGAGACUGUGAUGGAAUGUCAUGGCCUUGGUGGGG